AUUGAACGCUGGCGGCAGGCUUAACACAUGCGAGUCGAGCGGAGUGAUGGUGCUUGCACUAUCACUUAGCGGCGGACGGGUGAGUAAUGGUUAGGAAUCUGUCUAUUAGUGGGGGACAACAUCUCGAAAGGGAUGCUAAUACCGCAUACGUCCUAGGUGAGAAAGCAGGGGAUCACUUGUGACAUUGCGCUAAUAGAUGAGCCUAAGUCGGAUUAGCUAGUUGGUGGGGUAAAGGCCUACCAAGGCGACGAUCGGUAGCGGGUCUGAGAGGAUGAUCCGCCACACUGGGACUGAGACACGGCCCAGACUCCUACGGGAGGCAGCAGUGGGGAAUAUUGGACAAUGGGGGGAACCCUGAUCCAGCCAUGCCGCGUGUGUGAAGAAGGCCUUAUGGCUGUAAAGCACUUUAAGCGAGGAGGAGGCUCUUUUGGUUAAUACCCAAGAUGAGUGGACAUUACUCGCAGAAUAAGCACCGGCUAACUCUGUGCCAGCCGCCGCAGUAA
rnacentral:rRNA from 1 species